UACACGACUCUCGGCWACGGAUAUCUMGGCUCUYGCAUYGAUGAAGAACGUAGCAAACUGCGAUACUUGGUGUGAAUUGCAGAAUCCYGUGAACCAUCGAGUUUUUGAACGCAAGUUGCGCCCGAAGCCAUUAGGCYGAGGGCACGUCUGCCUGGGCGUCACGCAUC
rnacentral:rRNA from 1 species